ACCCCUGCUUGUAUUAAUAAACAUGCAGGUUUUGUUACUUACUGAUCAUGUUGAAGGAAUGCCAGUUUUAAACUGCCUGAAAUACCUGUGGCGAGGGGAAACACACUCUUGUACUCUUGUAACCUCGGUUUCUGUCUCUCUCCCUCUACACUUUCCAUGAGCGGGAUUCUUUUUCUUCUUUUCUUGUCAGUUAUUUCCACCAUUACCUGGUGACAGGGACCAGGGAAAACAAUACCUCUUCCUGUUUUGGAUGUGUAAUGGCAGAUGCUUCCUUCGUGCUGUGCAUUUUUGCAGGAACAAUCGAACGAGAUCAUUACACUAAUCAGAAUUUACUUCCAAAUGAUAAGUCAGAACCACCCAGAAACAGGAAGAAGGACUGCAGUGAAGAGCAAAACAAGGGAGGGAGAGAUUCAGCUGAGGACGCGCUGAGUUUUGAAGUAAAGAUUUCUGGGUUUAUGAAAGGAAAAUUUUCCUUCUAUGGAUGUUGUAAAGAUUUGCCAUUAAACCAGGAUGA